AUUGAACGCUGGCGGCAUGCCUUACACAUGCAAGUCGAACGGCAGCACGGGUGCUUGCACCUGGUGGCGAGUGGCGAACGGGUGAGUAAUACAUCGGAACGUACCUUAUCGUGGGGGAUAACGCAGCGAAAGCUGUGCUAAUACCGCAUACGCCCUGAGGGGGAAAGCGGGGGAUCGCAAGACCUCGCGCGAUUAGAGCGGCCGAUGCCUGAUUAGCUUGUUGGUGGGGUAAAAGCUCUCCAAGGCGACGAUCAGUAGCUGGUCUGAGAGGACGAUCAGCCACACUGGGACUGAGACACGGCCCAGACUCCUACGGGAGGCAGCAGUGGGGAAUUUUGGACAAUGGGGGCAACCCUGAUCCAGCAAUGCCGCGUGAGUGAAGAAGGCCUUCGGGUUGUAAAGCUCUUUUGUCAGGGAAGAAACACCGGCUCUGACACAGUCCGUGAAUGACGGUACCUGAAGAAUAAGCACCGGCUAACUACGUGCCAGCCGCCGCGGUAA
rnacentral:rRNA from 1 species